AUUCCAGCUCCAAGAACGUAUAUUAAAGAUGCUGCGGUUGGAAAACUCGUAGUUGGAUUUCAGUCUAGGAAGGUCAACUCGCCGAAAGGUUGUACGUCGAUUUUCCUCUGACUUCGCCAGGAGCGCGUGCUGCACUUAACUGUGUGGUACAAUGUUGUGACCUUUUACCUUGAAGAAAAAAGAUUGUUACUGGCAGGCUACCCAGCUUGAAUACAUUAGCAUGGAAUAAUGAAAUGGAUCUCGGUUCGAUUUCGUUGGUUCUAGAGCUGAGGUGAUGAUCAAUAGGAACAGGCGCAGGUAUUCGUACUUGAGAAUGAAGAGUGAAAUCCGAUGAUAACUCGAAGACGAUCCGAAGCAAAAGCAUUUGUCAAGGAUGUUUUCAUCA
rnacentral:rRNA from 1 species